AAUCAACGCUGGCGGCGUGCCUAACACAUGCAAGUCGAACGCGAAAGCCCCUUCGGGGGCAAGUAGAGUGGCGUCCGGGUGAGUAACACGUGGGUAAUCUACCUCCGGGUGGGGAAUAACUCGCCGAAAGGCGGGCUAAUACCGCAUAAUGCAGCGGCACCGAAUGGUGAUUAGUUGUUAAAGCGGGGGACCUUAGGGCCUCGCGUCUGGAGAGGAGCCUGCGGCAGAUUAGCUUGUUGGUAGGGAAUGGCCUACCAAGGCUGCGAUCUGUAGCUGGUCUGAGAGGACGGCCAGCCACACUGGCACUGACACACGGCCCAGACUCCUACGGGAGGCAGCAGUGGGGAAUAUUGGACAAUGGGGGCAACCCUGAUCCAGCGACGCCGCGUGUGUGAAGAAGG
rnacentral:rRNA from 1 species